GAGCACGUAGGUGGGUUUGUAAGUCAGAUGUGAAAGCCUCCUGUUCAACGGAAGAAUUGCAUCUGAAACUGCGAGUCUUGAGUGUAGGAGGGGAGAAUGGAACUUCUGGUGGAGCGGUGAAAUGCGUAGAUAUCAGAAGGAACGCCGGCGGCGAAAGCGAUUCUCUGGCCUAUUACUGACACUCAGUGUGCGAAAGCUAGGGGAGCGAACGGGAUUAGAUACCCCGGUAGUCCUAGCCGUAAGCGAUGGGCACUAAGUAGAGGGGUUUU
rnacentral:rRNA from 1 species